GGAGAGUUAUCGAAGUGGUCAUAACGAGGCGGUCUUGAAAACCGUUUGGGCUAACGCCCACGUGGGUUCGAAUCCCACACUCUCCG
rnacentral:tRNA from 1 species